rnacentral:rRNA from 1 species
AUUGAACGCUGGCGGCAGGCUUAACACACGCAAGUCGAGCGGAGAUGAGGUGCUUGCACCUUAUCUUAGCGGCGGACGGGUGAGUAAUGCUUAGGAAUCUGCCUAUUAGUGGGGGACAACAUUCCGAAAGGAAUGCUAAUACCGCAUACGUCCUACGGGAGAAAGCAGGGGAUCUUCGGACCUUGCGCUAAUAGAUGAGCCUAAGUCGGAUUAGCUAGUUGGUGGGGUAAAGGCCUACCAAGGCGACGAUCUGUAGCGGGUCUGAGAGGAUGAACAGCCACACUGGGACUGAGACACGGCCCAGACCCCUACGGGAGGCAGCAGUGGGGAAUAUUGGACAAUGGGGGAAACCCUGAUCCAGCCAUGACGCGUGUGUGAAGAAGGCCUUAUGGUUGUAAAGCACUUUAAGCGAGGAGGAGGCUACUGAGACUAAUACUCUUGGAUAGUGGACGUUACUCGCAGAAUAAGCACCGGCUAACUCUGUGCCAGCAGCCGCGGUAA